rnacentral:rRNA from 1 species
UACGAGGGGUGCAAGCGUUGUUCGGAAUCACUGGGCGUAAAGGGAGCGUAGGCGGAGAAGCAAGCGGACUGUACAAUACCGGGGCCCAACCCCGGACCUGCAGUUCGGACUGCUUCUCUUGGAUAGUUCAGGGGCAGGCGGAAUUCCUGGUGUAGCGGUGGAAUGCGUAGAGAUCAGGAAGAACACCGAUGGCGAAGGCAGCCUGCUGGGGACUCAUCGACGCUGAGGCUCGAAAGCGCGGGUAGCAAAC